AAAUCCAGUGGUCAGAUAUUAUGGGUUUGAAGGCAAAUUACCCUGACGAUGGACCUGGAACUUUAGAUGUAGUGCUUUCAAGACAACCUCUUUUCUUCAGGGAGACGAAUCCACAGCCUAGGAAGCACACUCUUUGGCAAGCAACAUCUGAUUUUACUGGAGGACAAGCUAGCAUGCACAAGCGACAUUACUUGCAGAUUCCACAAGGCUUGUUAGGAAAGCAUUUUGAAAAGCUUAUUCAGUGUGAUCCCCGUCUUAAUUUCCUAAGUCAACAACCAGAGAUUAUACUUGAUUCUCCACAUUUCGAAACCAGAAUUUCAGUAUUUGAAGACCCAAACGUGUGCGAGUCGGAAUUUAAUCUGAAUAAUGAGAGAAGUCCUCCCUUUCUUAACUUGCAUGGUGCCGCUUCGCCUUCAGGAGCUCAUUGUUCUUCAACAAAUGGAGAGCAAGACUUUGUUGUUAGUAGACGAUUGGAAAACAUUCGUCCAGAAACACCUUCACCAAGCUCAGUGAUGGAUACAAGGGCGAUUCAAGAUGUCAGUAGAGAUAUGGAGCAGUUGAAAGGCCUUGGCAACCUAGAUCAGAUCAGAGUGCCUGGUCUUCAUCCUUCCAUGUCAAUGAAAGAUUUAGUGAGCCACUUUGAACAACGUUUUUCUGAGCAGGGAACGUCUGAAGUUAUAAGCUUGUCCAGUGACGAACUCCAAAGCUUGGAGAUACUCGAAGAGAUCUCGAGGUGCUUGUUUAGUGACACUCAAAAUAUGCCAGCAUCAGAUGAGAAAUCCCUCAUGACAAGGGUCAAUUCUCUGUGCUGUCUUCUUCAGAAGGAUCCCGCAACAGCCCAUAAGAGUGAGAACUAUGGUGGUGUUGCAGUUGGAGGUAA
rnacentral:misc_RNA from 1 species